rnacentral:misc_RNA from 1 species
CCUCCUUAAAAUAAAAAUCGUCUGAGGUAGGCGUUCACACGAAUUAUUUGUUUUACCCAAAUUAGUUUUUUACUAAGAGUACGGUGAGUUUUUUAACAUUUUUAUAAGUUCAAUCAAGUCGCAUUAAUUAAAUCAUUUAUGUGGUUUAAAUUAAUGUGCAAAUGUCACCAAAUCCGUCGUGUUUUUAUAAAUACAUUUAUUUGGUGAACAUACUGCAAAGUAAUUUUGGCGUUAUGUAAUAUAGAUAUACUUGAAAGAUCUUUAUAUCAGGCAUUAAAUUGCUUGAUGUAAUAUGGUCAAGUAACUAAGCGCAUACGGUGG